ensembl:lncRNA
CAUUCCCCCUUCCACUCCAGUGUUCCCUCUCUCUCCAUUUCUUCCCUCCCCCCUCCCCCGGUCACACCUCUUCAAUCUCCAUGGUCUCUGGGGAAACCGUGGAGAUGCUCUGGGGACGCUCCAGGGGUUCAAGGAGCCUUGGAAUGUCCUCGAUGACUCUUUGGCACCACUCGGCCACUUCACAGGCACUGGGGCUGGCGAGACGACCAGAGAACAAGAACUUGGUGAUAUCAUCAAGUGUCGCCACCAGGUGAUCCUUGGCCAGGUGGGCGUUGGCCUCCCACAGCCGCUCAGCCACGGCCACCUUGGCCACCAAAUUCUCAGCAACAUUGAUGGACUGUGUCUUUGUUCCCUCCAGGGUGGCCUUGGUGUCCCUGAGCAGGCGCUGCAGCUCCCGGGGGAACGCAGAGGCUUCGUCACAUGCAGUCACCAAGCGCUCCAGCAGCCCCAGGGACGCCUCCAGCCGCUGUCUCACCAUGGUGGCCCUUGUUGCCUCGCUGGCAGCCACCCUGGCCUCUCUCCUCACCUGGGCUUCAUGCCCGGACACCACCUCGGCCCCCUCCUCCCCACCCAAGGCCUUAACCAGCUCCACCAUGUUUUCUUGACCUGUCCCAUCAUGGGCAGCCUCGUCCUGCAGGGCCCUGGCCCGGGCGGUGGCAGUGGCAGCCCUGUCGGCCGCCUUGGUGGCCAAAUCACUGCAGGUGUUGCGGAGCUCGGUGGCCACCCUGGCCAGCUGGGCCCAGCUGUUCACAAGCACAGACACCGACCGCUGCCACUUGCUGGUCGCCCGUCUUACAUGGAAACUGGUGGUCCAUCUGGUGCUCUUGUAGGCAGCCACGGUCCGGCUCAGGGAGGUGGGAGGGUCAUCGCCAUUGAACGUGACACUGCGGCACCACCAGGCGGCAUCAAAGUGAUACAGGGUGGUCUGGAGCUCCCUGGUGAAGUCAAUCAGGUCCCAGUACAGGCAGCUUGGAGACAGGAGCAGCAUCAUCAUUGCGUCCAGACUGGGCAGGGUGGCCAGCAACUCACCCAGGAUGGCCACGGCAGUGACCUCUGGCUGCAGCAGGGCCGGAGACAGCUUGGGAGGGGACAAGGAGGUGUCAGGGACCUGGUGGCACUAAUGGCCUCCUGUGGUGGCCUCAGUUCUCUCCCGGGGUCCCCCUUGUCCGCUCCCUUAAGGGCUCUGCUGUCCCCACUGUCUAUUUGUCACCCCCUUGUACCCUCUGCCACCCCCGAUCACCACACUCAUAGCACCUGCUUCCCUCUGUGGUUCCUUCUGCCACCCCCUGCCAGCUCCCAUGUCCACCCACCCCAUGUCCCCCUCAUCCACAACUGCCCCCUCCCCAUGCUUUGUCCUCCAUCCCUCUGUCCCCUCCCCCUUUGCGAUCCCCUGUGCCCUCUUGCCACCCCCAUGUCCCCUCCAUUGCCCAUUGCUCCCACUGCUCUGUGUUCCCUCCCCCCACACUGUCUGUCCCCCUGUCCCACCUCUUGGAGCUCCAUGCUCACUGGGGACACCUUGGGGACACUCUGGGGAUGCUCUGGGGGUCGAAGGAGCCUUG